rnacentral:rRNA from 1 species
CAAUAGCGUAUACUAAAGUUGUUGCAGUUAAAAAGCUCGUAGUUGAAUUUCUGGAUGUGAAAGGUGGUCAGCACCUCACGGUGUCUGCACCUACCAUUCGCGUCCAUCCUCGGGAGGAACAUGUGGACACUUUAGUGGGUCUGCAUGGGAAUCUCGUCAUUUACUGUGAGCAAAAUAGAGUGUUCAAAGCAGGCUUACGCCGUUGAAUAUAUUAGCAUGGAAUAAUAAGAUACGACUUUGGUCUAUUUUGUUGGUUUGCAUUCCAAAGUAAUGAUUAAUAGGGAUAGUUGGGGGUAUUCGUAUUCAAUUGUCAGAGGUGAAAUUCUUGGAUUUAUGGAAGACGAACUACUGCGAAAGCAUUUACCAAGGAUGUUUUCAUUAA